ACCUGGUUGAUUCUGCCAGUAGCAUACGCUUGUCUCAAAGAUUAAGCCAUGCAUGUCUAAGUAUAAACAAAUCUAUACGUGAAACUGCGAAUGGCUCAUUACAACAGUUAUAGUUUAUUUGAUCGUGCGGUGCUACGUGGAUAACCGUAGGAAUUCUAGAGCUAAUACAUGCCCCAUCACCGGUUUCUCUUUUUUUGCCUCCCCACUCUCUCCUCCCCCUUUUUUUUUUUUUUUAAAAAAAAAAAGGGGGUUCAAUAAA
rnacentral:rRNA from 1 species